GACAGAGGGUGCAAACGUUGCUCGGAAUUACUGGGCGUAAAGCGCGUGUAGGUGGUCACGCAAGUCAGGUGUGAAAGCCCUGGGCUCAACCCAGGAAGUGCACAUGAUACUACGUGGCUGGAGUACUGAAGAGGAGAGCGGAAUUCCCGGUGUAGAGGUGAAAUUCGUAGAUAUCGGGAGGAACACCAGUGGCGAAGGCGGCUCUCUGGGCAGAUACUGACACUGAGACGCGAAAGCGUGGGGAGCGAACAGG
rnacentral:rRNA from 1 species